rnacentral:rRNA from 1 species
GACGUAGGGCGCAAGCGUUGUCCGGAUUUAUUGGGCGUAAAGAGCUCGUAGGCGGCUUGUUGCGUCGUCCGCGAAAACCUGUGGCUCAACUACAGGCUUGCGGUCGAUACGGGCGGGCUGGAGUUCGGUAGGGGAGACUGGAAUUCCUGGUGUAGCGGUGAAAUGCGCAGAUAUCAGGAGGAACACCGGUGGCGAAGGCGGGUCUCUGGGCCGAUACUGACGCUGAGGAGCGAAAGCGUGGGGAGCGAACAGG